ACUAGCAGUAAGAGUUUGAUCCUGGCUCAGAUUGAACGCUGGCGGCAUGCCCUAACACAUGCAAGUCGAACGGUAGCAGGUCCUUCGGGAUGCUGACGAGUGGCGGACGGGUGCGUAACGCGUGGGAAUCUGCCCAAGUAGUGGGGGAUAACCCGGGGAAACUCGGGCUAAUACCGCAUAUUCCCGUAUGGGGGAAAGCGGGGGACCGUAAGGCCUCGCGCUAUUGGAUGAGCCCGCGUCCGAUUAGCUUGUUGGUGGGGUAAAGGCCUACCAAGGCGACGAUCGGUAGCUGGUCUGAGAGGACGACCAGCCACACUGGGACUGAGACACGGCCCAGACUCCUACGGGAGGCAGCAGUGGGGAAUAUUGGACAAUGGGGGAAACCCUGAUCCAGCAAUGCCGCGUGUGUGAAGAAGGCCUGCGGGUUGUAAAGCACUUUCGGCGGGAAAGAAAAGUCGUGCGCCAAUACCGCGCGACCUUGACGUUACCCGCAAAAGAAGCACCGGCUAACUCCGUGCCAGCCGCCGCGGUAAUUC
rnacentral:rRNA from 1 species